rnacentral:rRNA from 1 species
CUUAGUGGCGGACGGGUGAGUAACGCGUGGGUAACCUGCCUCACACUGGGGGAUAACAGUUAGAAAUAGCUGCUAAUACCGCAUAAGCGCACGGUUCCGCAUGGAACAGUGUGAAAAACUCCGGUGGUGUGAGAUGGACCCGCGUCUGAUUAGGUAGUUGGUGGGGUAACGGCCUACCAAGCCGACGAUCAGUAGCCGACCUGAGAGGGUGACCGGCCACAUUGGGACUGAGACACGGCCCAA